rnacentral:sRNA from 1 species
AAUUUUUUUGAUUGUAAAUAUGUAUUU